rnacentral:rRNA from 1 species
UACAGAGGUCUCAAGCGUUGUUCGGAUUCAUUGGGCGUAAAGGGUGCGUAGGCGGCGCGGUAAGUCGGGUGUGAAAUCUCGGAGCUUAACUCCGAAACUGCAUUCGAUACUGCCGUGCUUGAGGACUGGAGAGGAGACUGGAAUUUACGGUGUAGCGGUGAAAUGCGUAGAUAUCAGGAGGAACACCGAUGGCGAAGGCAGUGUUCUGGGCCAGUACUGACGCUGAGGAGCGAAAGCGUGGGGAGCGAACAGG